UACGUAGGUGAUAAGCGUUGUCCGGAUUUACUGGGUGUAAAGGGCGCGUAGGCGGGAUAGCAAGUCAGUCGUGAAAUGCCGAGGCUUAACCUCGGAGCUGCGAUUGAAACUGUUAUUCUUGAGUAUCGGAGAGGAAAGCGGAAUUCCUAGUGUAGCGGUGAAAUGCGUAGAUAUUAGGAGGAACACCAGUGGCGAAGGCGGCUUUCUGGACGACAACUGACGCUGAGGCGCGAAAGUGUGGGGAGCAAACAGG
rnacentral:rRNA from 1 species